rnacentral:rRNA from 1 species
UAGGCAAUCUUCCACAAUGGACGCAAGUCUGAUGGAGCAACGCCGCGUGAGUGAAGAAGGUUUUCGGAUCGUAAAGCUCUGUUGUUGGUGAAGAAGGAUAGAGGCAGUGACUGGUCUUUAUUUGACGGUAAUCAACCAGAAAGUCACGGCUAACUACGUGCCAGCAGCCGCGGUAAUACGUAGGUGGCAAGCGUUGUCCGGAUUUAUUGGGCGUAAAGCGAGCGCAGGCGGAAUGAUAAGUCUGAUGUGAAAGCCCACGGCUCAACCGUGGAACUGCAUCGGAAACUGUCAUUCUUGAGUGCAGAAGAGGAGAGUGGAAUUCCAUGUGUAGCGGUGGAAUGCGUAGAUAUAUGGAAGAACACCAGUGGCGAAGGCGGCUCUCUGGUCUGCAACUGACGCUGAGGCUCGAAAGCAUGGGUAGCGAACAGG